rnacentral:rRNA from 1 species
GGAUUUUCCGCAAUGGGCGAAAGCCUGACGGAGCAAUACCGCGUGAGGGAGGAAGGCUCUUGGGUCGUAAACCUCUUUUCUCAGGGAAGAAAAAAAUGACGGUACYUGAGGAAUAAGCAUCGGCUAACUCCGUGCCAGCAGCCGCGGUAAUACGGAGGAUGCAAGCGUUAUCCGGAAUGAUUGGGCGUAAAGGGUCCGCAGGUGGUACUGUAAGUCUGCUGUUAAAGAGCAAGGCUCAACCUUGUAAGAGCGGUGGAAACUACAGAACUAGAGUGCGUUCGGGGCAGAAGGAAUUCCUGGUGUAGCGGUGAAAUGCGUAGAUAUCAGGAAGAACACCGGUGGCGAAAGCGUUCUGCUAGGCCGCAACUGACACUGAGGGACGAAAGCUAGGGGAGCGAAUGGGAUUAGAUACCCCAGUAGUCCUAGCCGUAAACGAUGGAUACUAGGCGUGGCUUGUAUCGACCCGAGCCGUGCCGGAGCUAACGCGUUAAGUAUCCCGCCUGGGGAGUACGCACGCAAGUGUGAAACUCAAAGGAAUUGACGGGGGCCCGCACAAGCGGUGGAGUAUGUGGUUUAAUUCGAUGCAACGCGAAGAACCUUACCAAGACUUGACAUCCUGCGAAUCCUGCUGAAAGGUGGGAGUGCCUUCGGGAGCGCAGAGACAGGUGGUGCAUGGCUGUCGUCAGCUCGUGUCGUGAGAUGUUGGGUUAAGUCCCGCAACGAGCGCAACCCUCGUUUUUAGUUGCCAGCAUUAAGUUGGGCACUCUAGAGAGACUGCCGGUGACAAACCGGAGGAAGGUGAGGAUGACGUCAAGUCAGCAUGCCCCUUACGUCUUGGGCUACACACGUACUACAAUGCUACGGACAAAGGGCAGCAAGCUAGCGAUAGCAAGCAAAUCUCAUAAACCGUAGCUCAGUUCAGAUCGAAGGCUGCAACUCGCCUUCGUGAAGGAGGAAUCGCUAGUAAUUGCAGGUCAGCAUACUGCAGUGAAUUCGUUCCCGGGCCUUGUACACACCGCCCGU